GACGAACGCUGGCGGCGUGCCUAAUACAUGCAAGUAGAACGCACAGUUUAUACCGUAGCUUGCUACACCAUAGACUGUGAGUUGCGAACGGGUGAGUAACGCGUAGGUAACCUGCCUGGUAGCGGGGGAUAACUAUUGGAAACGAUAGCUAAUACCGCAUAAUAUUAAUUAUUGCAUGAUAAUUAAUUGAAAGGUGCAAUUGCACCACUACCAGAUGGACCUGCGUUGUAUUAGCUAGUAGGUGAGGUAACGGCUCACCUAGGCGACGAUACAUAGCCGAACUGAGAGGGUGAUCGGCCACACUGGGACUGAGACACGGCCCAGACUCCUACGGGAGGCAGCAGUAGGGAAUCUUCGGCAAUGGACGAAAGUCUGACCGAGCAACGCCGCGUGAGUGAAGAAGGUUGUCGGAUCGUAAAGCUCUGUUGUAAGAGAAGAACGGGUGUGAGAGUGGAAAGUUCACACUGUGACGGUAUCUUACCAGAAAGGGACGGCUAACUACGUG
rnacentral:rRNA from 1 species